CCUACGGGUGGCAGCAGUGGGGAAUAUUGGACAAUGGGCGAAAGCCUGAUCCAGCCAUGCCGCGUGUGUGAAGAAGGCCUUCGGGUUGUAAAGCACUUUCAGUGGGGAAGAAAGCCUUGGGGCUAAUACCCUCGAGGAAGUACAUCACCCACAGAAGAAGCACCGGCUAACUCCGUGCCAGCAGCCGCGGUAAUACGGAGGGUGCGAGCGUUAAUCGGAAUUACUGGGCGUAAAGCGCGCGUAGGCGGUCUGAUAAGCCGGUUGUGAAAGCCCCGGGCUCAACCUGGGAACGGCAUCCGGAACUGUCAGGCUAGAGUGCAGGAGAGGAAGGUAGAAUUCCCGGUGUAGCGGUGAAAUGCGUAGAGAUCGGGAGGAAUACCAGUGGCGAAGGCGGCUUUCUGGACUGACACUGACGCUGAGGUGCGAAAGCGUGGGUAGCAAACAGGAUUAGAUACCCUAGUAGUC
rnacentral:rRNA from 1 species